UGAUUUUUAUCUUUUUUUAUUUUUUUAUUUUUUUUAUUUUUUUUUUAUUUUAGAGAAAAAAUUUAGAAAAAAAUCAAAAAAUAGCAAAACGGGAGAAAACCUGCUCGCGGGAAAAAUCCCGCGAGAAAACAGUUUCCCCACACAGGGGUUAAGCAUUGUGUGCGCGCGCAUGCUCACACAGUGGUCGUGGGGCACGGGCACUGUGCGCACACCACGUCU
rnacentral:lncRNA from 1 species